rnacentral:rRNA from 1 species
UACGUACAAGCAGUGGGAGCCCCACCACCAAAGCAUUCUCUGGUGUUGAAGGCCCUGCAAAGCAGCAUCGCGGUGGCGGAGCGUCGUUUGCGACGCCCAACACACAAAACAAGCGGUGAAUGCUUUGGGGUGGGGUGACUGCGUACCUUUUGUAUAAUGGGUCAGCGACUUAUAUUCUGUAGCAAGGUUAACCGAAUAGGGGAGCCGGAGGGAAACCGAGUCUUAAUUGGGCGUUAAGUUGCAGGGUA